GCUUCAACAGCUGCUGAGCUUCCCAGGGCUGGGGGCUGCGGGACUCCGGAGGGACAGAGGACAUGGGGAUGGGGAGCUCGGGUGACUCCCCAGGGAAAGGAGCAGCUGGGAAAGAGCAGGCAAACGCUUUCUGCUGAAGUUGUGGAGAUGAGGGGUCUGGCUGGAGCUGUGGCUGGGGGAUGGAGCCAGGGGGAGGGGGCUCACAGCUCCAUCUGGGACACGUUCCUGUCCUGCUGAUGGCACGGGGACCACCGUGUGCACUCCUGCUGUGUCGGACCUCCUGGACCACUGCAGAGACCAUAAGGAAAACUCCACACCAAACCUGUGUAAAACUUUGCAGCAGGUGAAGCUGAGAGCAGUGGAAAGCCCCCACCCACCCUGCCACAGCACAUGGGCAAAGCGGGAGCUCCAUCUGAGGGACCCUAGGCCUACUCUGGGCUCUUCAAAGUCCCCUCUGGUGGCCUUAUCCUCUGCUGAUAGGAUCCUCUGGUACCUUAUGGGGAGGCUCAGGGGGAAAUCUGUCUGCAAGGAAGGGAUAGGAAGGAUAUCCUGUUUCCCUAGGGAAGAGGUCAUCAGGUAAAGCAGCCAAGGGAAUCCUGUCCUGCAGCAGCCAGACCAGAGCAAAGGGCUCCCCUGGGGAUUGAGGGAAGCCUGAUUGCCCACUGGGAGGUUUGGGGUUAGUCCUGCUGGCACUGAGACUGUGCAGGACCUACUGGAACUCUCACAGAGCCUGUGGUUCAACCCAGUUAUUUGCAGGGUCACCAGUAUUGCAGUCCUUAUGCUCCCAAGCCCUCUGUGGUGGCUCCAGCCUGGCUCCUGCUCCUCACCCAGACUAUUUUGGGACAGCACAGGAUGGUCAAAGCCCUCAUCUGCCAGACCCCAGGCAAGGAAUCCUGGACCCCCUGAGCAGCCCUCAGGUGCCCUGUCAGCUGCUGGGGGACAAGGAAAUCCCGCGCACCUCUCCGUGGACAAACCCAGAUGUGCUCCAGGCCCCCCUUUUCCCCGGACAGCACAUCCCCGGGGUGCCGCCAGCCUUGAGGGUCCCGGGGGGCUGCAGUGAGCGCUCCAGCCCUGCCCGGGGGCCCGGGCCUGCCCUGCCCGGGAG
rnacentral:lncRNA from 1 species